CACAACCUUCCUACAAGUGGGGAAUAGCCCAGAGAAAUUUGGAUUAAUACCCGUAACAUAUAAAGAUGGCAUCAUUUUUAUAUUAUAGCUACGGCGCUUGUUGAUGGGUGUGCGGCUGAUUAGGUAGUUGGCGGGGUAAUGGCCCACCAAGCCUGCGAUCAGUAGCUGAUGUGAGAGCAUGAUCAGCCACACGGGCACUGAGACACGGGCCCG
rnacentral:rRNA from 1 species